rnacentral:rRNA from 1 species
AGGGGGUUGGAUCCUGGCUCAGAAUCAACGCUGGCGGCGUGCCUAACACAUGCAAGUCGAACGAGAAAGGGCACCUUCGGGAGCCUGAGUAAAGUGGCGAACGGGUGAGUAGCACGUGGGUGACCUGCCCUAUGGAGGGGGAUAACCCGGGGAAACCCGGGCUAAAACCGCAUAAGCCUUUAAAGUCGAAUUUAAAGGGAAAGGGGUAAGGCCUUCGGGUCUUAUCUUGCCGAAGGAGGGGCCCGCGUCCCAUUAGCUAGUUGGUGGGGUAAGGGCCUACCAAGGCAACGAUGGGUAGCCGGUCUGAGAGGACGGACGGCCACACUGGAACUGAGACACGGUCCAGACUCCUACGGGAGGCAGCAGUGGGGAAUUUUGGGCAAUGGGCGAAAGCCUGACCCAGCAACGCCGCGUGGAGGACGAAGGCCUUCGGGUCGUAAACUCCUGUCCGAGGGGAAGAAGAAAGUGACGGUACCCUUGGAGGAAGCCCCGGCUAACUCCGUGCCAGCACCGCGGUAAGACGGGGGGGGCAAGCGUUGUUCGGAAUUACUGGGCGUAAAGGGCGCGUANGCGGCCUGGGAAGUCUUGGGUGNAAUCCCUC